UGAGUCAUCAAAGUCCUACUGGAGUAAAGAAGCCAUUACAAGCUAUCUACAAACUGUUGGAUUGUUUCUUUUCUUUGUGACAUUUCUUUUAGGAAUUUCAUACUUGUACUUCGAAGGAUCUUUAGAUUUUAUCUACUCAACAUAUGGCUUCAUAUUGACAGUUCCAGAUUUAACGCCAAAUGUUGGAGUUUUUUGGUAUUUUUUUACAGAAAUGUUUGACCACUUCAGAACUUUUUUUGUUUGUGUGUUUCAAUUGAAUGCAGUUAUCUAUACAGUUCCUCUAACUGUUAAAUUUGC
rnacentral:sRNA from 1 species